rnacentral:rRNA from 1 species
GAUGAACGCUAGCUACAGGCUUAACACAUGCAAGUCGAGGGGCAGCGGGAUUGAAGCUUGCUUCAAUUGCCGGCGACCGGCGCACGGGUGAGUAACGCGUAUCCAACCUUCCGUACACUCAGGGAUAGCCUUUCGAAAGAAAGAUUAAUACCUGAUGGUAUGAUGAGAUUGCAUGAUAGCAUCAUUAAAGAUUUAUCGGUGUACGAUGGGGAUGCGUUCCAUUAGGUAGUAGGCGGGGUAACGGCCCACCUAGCCAACGAUGGAUAGGGGUUCUGAGAGGAAGGUCCCCCACAUUGGAACUGAGACACGGUCCAAACUCCUACGGGAGGCAGCAGUGAGGAAUAUUGCACAAUGGGGGAAACCCUGAUGCAGCGACGCCGCGUGAGCGAAGAAGUAUUUCGGUAUGUAAAGCUCUAUCAGCAGGGAAGAAGAAAUGACGGUACCUGACUAAGAAGCACCGGCUAAAUACGUGCCAGCAGCCGCGGU